rnacentral:rRNA from 1 species
UACGUAGGGUGCGAGCGUUGUCCGGAAUUAUUGGGCGUAAAGAGCUCGUAGGCGGUCUGUCGCGUCGAUCGUGAAAACUUGGGGCUUAACCCUGAGCUUGCGGUCGAUACGGGCAUGACUGGAGUUCGGCAGGGGAGACUGGAAUUCCUGGUGUAGCGGUGAAAUGCGCAGAUAUCAGGAGGAACACCAGUGGCGAAGGCGGGUCUCUGGGCCGUAACUGACGCUGAGGAGCGAAAGCGUGGGGAGCGAACAGG